GACGAACGCUGGCGGCGUGCCUAAUACAUGCAAGUCGGGCGGACCGAACGAGGGCUUGCUCUUGUUUGGUCAGCGGCGGACGGGUGAGUAACACGUGGGUGACCUGCCUUUUAGUGGGGAAUAACCAGAAGAAAUUUUGGCUAAUACCGCAUACGAAGCACAAAUCUUAGAGUAGUGCUUGAAAGAAUGCCUCUGUAUAUGCAUUCGCUAUUAGAUGGGCCUGCGGUACAUUAGCUAGUUGGUGGGGUAAAGGCCUACCAAGGCAACGAUGUAUAUCCGGUAUGAGAGGAUGAGCGGAAACACUGGAACUGAGACACGGUCCAGACUCCUACGGGAGGCAGCAGUGGGGAAUUUUGCGCAACGGGCGAAAGCCUGACGCAGCAACGCCGCGUGUGUGAUGAAGGUCUUCGGAUCGUAAAGCACUUUCGACUGGGACGAAAACCCGCUGGCUAACAUCCAGCGGUCUGACGGUACCGGGAGAAGAAGCACCGGCUAACUCUGUGCCAGCCGCCGCCGUAA
rnacentral:rRNA from 1 species